GACGAACGCUGGCGGCGUGCUUAACACAUGCAAGUCGAACGGAAAGGCCCUGCUUUUGUGGGGUGCUCGAGUGGCGAACGGGUGAGUAACACGUGAGUAACCUGCCCUUGACUUUGGGAUAACUUCAGGAAACUGGGGCUAAUACCGGAUAGGAGCUCCUGCUGCAUGGUGGGGGUUGGAAAGUUUCGGCGGUUGGGGAUGGACUCGCGGCUUAUCAGCUUGUUGGUGGGGUAGUGGCUUACCAAGGCUUUGACGGGUAGCCGGCCUGAGAGGGUGACCGGCCACAUGGGGACUGAGAUACGGCCCAGCCGCCUACGGGGGGCAGCAGUGGGGAAUAUUGCCCAAUGGGCGGAAGCCUGAUGCAGCAACGCCGCGUGCGGGAUGACGGCCUUCGGGUUGUAAACCGCUUUCGCCUGUGACGAAGCGUGAGUGACGGUAAUGGGUAAAGAAGCACCGGCUAACUACGUG
rnacentral:rRNA from 1 species